rnacentral:rRNA from 1 species
CAGUCGCCGCGGUAAUACGAAGGGGGCUAGCGUUGCUCGGAAUGACUGGGCGCAAAGGGCGCGUAGGCGGCGAUCAAAGUCAGGCGUGAAAUUCCUGGGCUCAACCUGGGGGCUGCGCUUGAUACUUGGUUGCUUGAGUGGGGAAGAGGGUCGUGGAAUUCCCAGUGUAGAGGUGAAAUUCGUAGAUAUUGGGAAGAACACCGGUGGCGAAGGCGGCGACCUGGUCCUUGACUGACGCUGAGGCGCGGAAGCGUGGGGAGCAAACAGGAUUAGAUACCCCAGUAGUCCCUGUCUCUUAUAC